rnacentral:rRNA from 1 species
GACCUCGGAUCAGACA